UUUUCUUCUUUCAUAAAAAUAAUUAAAAAAAUACGUUUUAAAGGUUUAAGCACGUGUAUGAUCGCACGCAUCAUCCUCGUGCUAAGACCUUUUCCCCUUUCAUAAAAAAAUAAAAAUAAAAAUGUUUUAAAGGUUUAAGCACGUGUGUGAUCGCACGCAUCGUCCUCGUGUUAAGACCUUCUCCCUUUUUAUAAAAAUAAAAUAAAGUAUGUUUUAAAGGUUUGAGCACAUGUGUGAUCGCACACAUCGUCCUCGUGCUAA
rnacentral:lncRNA from 1 species